rnacentral:rRNA from 1 species
UACGUAGGGUGCAAGCGUUGUCCGGAAUUAUUGGGCGUAAAGAGCUCGUAGGCGGUUUGUCGCGUCGGCUGUGAAAACCUGGGGCUCAACCCCGGGCCUGCAGCCGAUACGGGCAAACUAGAAUUCGGUAGGGGAGACUGGAAUUCCUGGUGUAGCGGUGAAAUGCGCAGAUAUCAGGAGGAACACCGGUGGCGAAGGCGGGUCUCUGGGCCUUACCUGACGCUGAGGAGCGAAAGCGUGGGGAGCGAACAGG